rnacentral:rRNA from 1 species
CCUACGGGCGGCAGCAGUGAGGAAUAUUGGUCAAUGGACGGAAGUCUGAACCAGCCAAGUAGCGUGAAGGAUGACUGCCCUAUGGGUUGUAAACUGCUUUUAUAUGAGAAUAAAAUGUUCCACGUGUAUGCUGCUGUAUGUACCGUAUGAAUAAGGAUCGGCUAACUCCGUGCCAGCAGCCGCGGUAAUACGGAGGAUCCGAGCGUUAUCCGGAUUUAUUGGGUUUAAAGGGAGCGUAGGUGGAUUGUUAAGUCAGUUGUGAAAUGUUGCGGCUCAACCGUGAAAUUGCAUUUGAUACUGGUGGUCUUGAGUACAGUUGCGGUAGGCGGAAUGUGUGGUGUAGCGGUGAAAUGCUUAGAUAUCAUGCAGAACUCCGAUUGCGAAGGCAGCUUACUAAACUGCAACUGACACUGAGGCUCGAAAGUGUGGGUAUCAAACAGGAUUAGAUACCCGUGUAGUC